rnacentral:rRNA from 1 species
UACGUAGGGCGCAAGCGUUGUCCGGAACUAUUGGGCGUAAAGGGCUCGUAGGCGGUUUGUCACGUCGGGCGUGAAAACUCAGGGCUCAACCCCGAGCGUGCGUUCGAUACGGGCAGACUAGAGGUAUGCAGGGGAGAACGGAAUUCCUGGUGUAGCGGUGGAAUGCGCAGAUAUCAGGAGGAACACCGGUGGCGAAGGCGGUUCUCCGGGCAUUACCUGACGCUGAGGAGCGAAAGCAUGGGGAGCGAACAGG